CCUACGGGGGGCAGCAGUGGGGAAUAUUGGACAAUGGGGGGAACCCUGAUCCAGCCAUGCCGCGUGUGUGAAGAAGGCCCUCGGGUUGUAAAGCACUUUCAGUGAGGAAGAACGCCUGGUGGUUAAUACCCAUCAGGAAAGACAUCACUCACAGAAGAAGCACCGGCUAACUCCGUGCCAGCAGCCGCGGUAAUACGGAGGGUGCGAGCGUUAAUCGGAAUUACUGGGCGUAAAGCGCGCGUAGGUGGCUUGAUAAGCCGGUUGUGAAAGCCCCGGGCUCAACCUGGGAACGGCAUCCGGAACUGUCGAGCUAGAGUGCAGGAGAGGAAGGUAGAAUUCCCGGUGUAGCGGUGAAAUGCGUAGAGAUCGGGAGGAAUACCAGUGGCGAAGGCGGCCUUCUGGACUGACACUGACACUGAGGUGCGAAAGCGUGGGUAGCAAACAGGAUUAGAUACCCCUGUAGUC
rnacentral:rRNA from 1 species